rnacentral:lncRNA from 1 species
CUCUGAAGUGACCAGUGGGUCAGAUUUGUAUAACAUUGCUAUUUGAUUAAUUGUCUAAAUUGUAUAACACUUUUUCACGUGUAGAAAACCAUGUGAGUGGGUUCCUUACUUCUUAUUGGUCAAUGAUCUUGCGGGGUCAGCACAAGUUUACGUGCCAUGUGUGUACUUCCUUUUAUCAUUAACUUUCGUCUUGAUAACUUGUGAUUCUAAAACAUUGCGUGAAAUUUAAAUUUCCCACCCGCAAACCUCCCUUUAUUUAUCUUUACAAGUAGUUUUGUAAAUAGAUUUUUUUAGUUGGGCAGAUUUUUCUCCCCACCUUUGCUAUUAUUUGUCAUUUAUUCAAUUGAUAUGAUUUUAGUUGAUGUAAUUUCGUAUUAAUUAUGUAUUAUAAUUGCAUAUUAAUUAUGAACUUUUAUGUCAAAUGUUUUAUUUGCAAAUUGUAUUUGUUU